GAUGAACGCUAGCGAUAGGCUUAACACAUGCAAGUCGAGGGGCAGCGCGGGUAGCAAUACCUGUCGGCGACCGGCGCACGGGUGAGUAACGCGUAUGUAACCUGCCCGCAACAGGGGGAUAACCCGGCGAAAGUCGGACUAAUACCGCAUAAAACAGGGGUCCCGCAUGGGAAUAUUUGUUAAAGAUUUAUCGGUUGCGGAUGGGCAUGCGUACCAUUAGGUAGUUGGUGAGGUAACGGCUCACCAAGCCUUCGAUGGUUAGGGGUUCUGAGAGGAAGGUCCCCCACACUGGUACUGAGACACGGACCAGACUCCUACGGGAGGCAGCAGUGAGGAAUAGUGGUCAAUGGGCGAGAGCCUGAACCAGCCAAGUCGCGUGAAGGAUGACUGCCCUAUGGGUUGUAAACUUCUUUUACAAGGGAAUAAAAUGAGAUACGGGUAUUUUAUUGCAUGUACCUUGGGAAUAAGCAUCGGCUAACUCCGUG
rnacentral:rRNA from 1 species